rnacentral:rRNA from 1 species
CCUACGGGGGGCAGCAGUGGGGAAUAUUGGGCAAUGGGCGAAAGCCUGACCCAGCAACGCCGCGUGAAGGAAGAAGGCUUUCGGGUUGUAAACUUCUUUUGCCAGGGAAGAGCAGAAGACGGUACCUGUCGAAUAAGCCACGGCUAACUACGUGCCAGCAGCCGCGGUAAUACGUAGGUGGCAAGCGUUGUCCGUAUUUACUGGGUGGAAAGGGCGUGUAGCCGGGCUGACAAGUCAGAUGUGAAAUCCGGGAGCUCAACCCCCGAACUGCAUUUGAAAAUGUUGGUCUUGAGUAUCGGAGAGGCAGGCGGAAUUCCUAGUGUAGCGGUGAAAUGCGUAGAUAUUAGGAGGAACACCAGUGGCGAAGGCGGCCUGCUGGACGACAACUGACGGUGAGGCGCGAAAGCGUGGGGAGCAAACAGGAUUAGAUACCCGUGUAGUC